AAAGGGCGCGUAGGCGGUCUUUUAAGUCGGGGGUGAAAGCCUGUGGCUCAACCACAGAAUUGCCUUCGAUACUGGGAGACUUGAGUUCGGUAGAGGUUGGUGGAACUGCGAGUGUAGAGGUGAAAUUCGUAGAUAUUCGCAAGAACACCGGUGGCGAAGGCGGCCAACUGGACCGACACUGACGCUGAGGCGCGAAAGCGUGGGGAGCAAACAGGAUUAGAUACCCCAGU
rnacentral:rRNA from 1 species